UCUGGUUGAUCCUGCCAGUAGUCAUAUGCUUGUCUCAAAGAUUAAGCCAUGCAUGUCUAAGUAUAAAUAGUAUACAGUGAAACUGCGAAUGGCUCAUUAAAACAGUUAUAGUUUAUUUGAUAAUUGACAAUUACAUGGAUAACCGUGGUAAUUCUAGAGCUAAUACAUGCUUAAACGCCCGACUUUAUGGAAGGGUGGUAUUUGUUAGACUGAAGCCAACAUUCCUUGUGUCUAUUGCGGUGAUUCAUAAUAACUGAUCGAAUCUCUUUUUGAGAUAAAUCAUUCAAGUUUCUGCCCUAUCAGCUUUCGAUGGUAGUGUAUUGGACUACCAUGGCAGUAACGGGUAACGAAGAAUUAGGGUUCGAUUUCGGAGAGGGAGCAUGAGAAACGGCUACCACAUCUAAGGAAGGCAGCAGGCGCGUAAAUUACCCAGUCCUGACUCAGGGAGGUAGUGACAAGAAAUAGCAAACCGGGAACCUCAUGGUUUCACGGUAUUGCAAUGAGAACAAUUUAAAACCCUUAGCGAGAAUCAAGUGGAGGACAAGUCUGGUGCCAGCACCCGCGGUAAUUCCAGCUCCACUAGCGUAUAUUAAAGUUGUUGCAGUUAAAAAGCUCGUAGUUGAACCUCUGUCUGGGGCUAGUUUUGGCUUUGGUCAGGCUAGUUCUAGGCAUCCGCCUACAAGACUUAGAGGGCAUUCAGUUGUUCACUAGGAGGAGUAGGCAUUUUACUUUGAAAAAAUUAGAGUGUUUAAGGCAGGCAAUCGCCCGCAUAUAUUAGCAUGGAAUAAUAGAAUAGGACACUUUUCCAUUUCGUUGGUUAUUGGAAUCGUGUAAUGAUUAAUAGGGACAGUUGUGGGCAUUUGUAUUUAAUUGUCAGAGGUGAAAUUCUUGGAUUUAUUAAAGACAAACUAACGCGAAAGCAUUUGCCAAGGAUGUUUUCAUUAAUCAAGAACGAAAGUUAGGGGAUCAAAGACGAUCAGAUACCGUCCUAGUCUUAACUAUAAACUAUUCCGACUCAAUGUUUGACUGGCUUAUAUAACCAGUUGAGCGUUGUAUGAGAAAUCAAAGUCUUUAGGUUCUGGGGGGAGUAUGGUUGCAAAGCUGAAACUUAAAGGAAUUGACGGAAGAGCACAACCAGGAGUGGAUUCUGCGGCUUAAUUUGACUCAACACGGGGAAACUUACCAGGUUAAAACAAUAGUGGGAUUGACAGUUUGAGAGCGCUUUCUUGAUUGGUUGGGUGGUGGUGCAUGGCCGUUCUUAGUUGGUGGAGUGAUUUGUCUGCUUAAUUGCGUUAACGAACGAGACCUUAACCUGCUUACUAGACU
rnacentral:rRNA from 1 species